UAAGAACAGGUUCUUGUGCUGACGUCC
rnacentral:piRNA from 1 species